rnacentral:ncRNA from 1 species
AAAAAGAUUUAAGAAUCAGGCCGGGCAUUUGCUGUCCGUCGACACGGUCGUACAUCCAGCCGGUUGCCUGGUUCCUUGCAUUGAGUGAUGUACGGAGUUAAAGAGC